rnacentral:rRNA from 1 species
UGGGAGGAAAAGAAACCAACAGGGAUUGCCCUAGUAACGGCGAGUGAAGCGGCAACAGCUCAAAUUUGAAAUCUGGCUUCGGCCCGAGUUGUAAUUUGCAGAGGAAGCUUUAGGCGCGGCACCUUCUGAGUCCCCUGGAACGGGGCGCCAUAGAGGGUGAGAGCCCCGUAUAGUUGGAUGCCUAGCCUGUGUAAAGCUCCUUCGACGAGUCGAGUAGUUUGGGAAUGCUGCUCAAAAUGGGAGGUAAAUUUCUUCUAAAGCUAAAUACCGGCCAGAGACCGAUAGCGCACAAGUAGAGUGAUCGAAAGAUGAAAAGCACUUUGAAAAGAGGGUUAAACAGCACGUGAAAUUGUUGAAAGGGAAGCGCUUGUGACCAGACUUGCGCCAGGCUGAUCAUCCGGUGUUCUCACCGGUGCACUCGGCCCGGCACAGGCCAGCAUCGGUUCUCGCGGGGGGAUAAAGGUCUCGGGAACGUAGCUCCUCCGGGAGUGUUAUAGCCCGGGGCGUAAUGCCCUCCGCGGGGACCGAGGUUCGCGCAUCUGCAAGAUGCGCUAGACGGCUU